AUAUAUAUAUAUAUACCCCUCCAUAUACACAUACAUACUUGGGAGACCUAGAAGAAGCUCCUGGCUUCCAGCUUCGGAUCUGAUGAGCUCAGCUCAGAUGGACAUUGUGGCUGUUUGGAAAGCAAACUAGUAAGUGGAAGACUUCUAUUACUCUUUCUCUGUUAAGAAACAAAAACAAAGAAGUCCGAUUCUCAACUACUUGUCCAUUCUUCUGAAUUACUCCAUAUAUCAUCAUCUUUAUCAUCAUCAUCAUCUCAGAUUAUUCAACAACUUCAUAACUGAUUUCCCUGCUUCUCUCCUUGUCUCAUGAUUUUUUCAAUCCACGGUUAAGUUGUUUUAAAACAGAUAUCACUUCAUUGACAAUCCUGCUGCGGUUUCCUGAUCUUCUCCUAAUAUUAUUCAGAAUCACUUUUAAUAUUAAAAGGCCUUAUUCAAAAAGAAGUUCUAUGAAAAGCACAGUGACUAGAGAAAAAGAUCUUCCAGACCCACAGUAGCCAGGUCUAAGCCAGGCCCUGCCAUGUGGUGUGUCAGAGGCCCAAGUGCUUGGGUCAUCUUGCGCUGCCCUCCCAGUGUGGUUAGCAGGUAUCUGAAGAGAACCCCUGGGACUUGGGUAAGAGCUGCAGCUCCUCAGCCUGAUGUGCCACUUUCCCGAGGUCCAAGAGAACGCAGUCCUUUGUUUCUUCCUGACCACCAUGCUGCUCCUGCCUGAGGGCCUUUGCCCUGGUUGCAUCUGCUCUUUAGAUAGGAAUGGCUCAUUUCAUUUUGUGACUCCAAGUUUUGAGGCCGUCAAGACAUAUUUUUCCAAAGA